GCGCCCUCCAGGGGCUUUCCGGACUCCUGCUCCGAGCACCGGCCGCCAGUGUGGCUCAACCGGAGUCCGGCAGCACCACAGAGGUCAGCGAGUCUGACGAGGACGCGGAAGCAGAGAACGAGGGAGAUGAAGGUGUAUCUGCUGCCACGGAGCCUGUCGACCCCGUGCUGCCGCCUGCUAGUCCUCGCCUCAAUGCCUCCAUCCAAAACACACUACCACAAGAAGCCGUUCCAACCAACUCCAGUUCAGCUGCAGAUGUGAGAGGACAGAAGCAAAAUCUGGUCGUCCAGUCGGUGUCUGUGGCCUCGGCUUCUCUCCAGUCGUCACAUGGCGAAGAGGGUGAAGGCGACAACUGCACAAUCUGCUUUGAGGCAUGGACGACAGCGGGCGAACACAGGCUGUCUG